AUAUUUAAGUAGAUGAGGGAGCAAACAGCACCUGAUCUUGUGGAGGUUUGUUCGUGAGCAGAGGUCGUGCCAGCAGCUCCUCUAGGAACUGUGGGUGUGCUUUUCAUGGGCCACGAGAGGAGGUGAAGCAACCUGCUUUGAAGAGUGGAAAGGAGCGCUUUGCCUAGUUUGGAAGACUGGUGACAUGAAAGGUAGAUACUUCUGGGCUGUCAGAGGAAUGAAGCUCAGUUAUUUCAGAGCGUGCGCCCUCAGUGAACGACCUGAAGAACACAGGAAGAGUAAUUUAGUAGAGCGUUAUGUUGCCUAUUUGGAAUGCAAAUAUUACUGAAAUGUACACUUCUGCAGAAGCAAUUCUCCUCUGUAUGACAUCCCUGCCGAGUGCUGCCCUGCUGCCUUCUAUACCCAUUUGAACUUAAUCCCAAUUAGGAACAGAUCAUUUUUCUGUAUGUAAAAAUCUCAUUAGAUUAUCUCACAAGCCAACUAUCUGAAAAUCUGUGUUUUUUUUACCCUUGUUCUUGGAGGAGUACAUGGAUAGUUAGCUAAGAUGCUGUGUGCAUUGCACACAGCAAAAUCACAUCAGUUUUUGCAACAUCACUAAAAUUCAGAGUUUUUGCUCCUUGCAUUAUGGUUUCUGACAAGAAAAAUAUCAUGGUACUGGGUCAUACUUCAGCCACGUCUACUUCUCUUAACUCCCCCAGUAACUACAGUUCAGCAGAGUUUUUACUUCUGUAUUUUAACUUUUUUCCUCUGGAAGCAGUCCACUAUCUUUUCCCCCAGCUAUGGUGGGUGCACUAAAGUGUUUCUUCUGUUCUGACAGAUUUUGGCAGUUUGUGGAAAAUUCACUCUAUGUAUAAUGAGGAUUACAGCUGAACCUAGUUCUGACUGUCAAACCAGAAGGCAUGUUCUGCCACACCAUUGCAGUGGGAGGAUAGGUUUUGUUUGCAGGCUUUGAGGAAUUUUGCCUUCAGCUCUCAAUAACCGAAGACCCUUUAUGCUCCCAUUUUCCUUAUAGAUGUAUGUUCUUUGGGAUGUGCUAGAUCUCAAGUCAGAGUAUGGCAGAGCCUUUUCAAUCUAAGAUGUGUAGUCUUCACCACUGACAGCCUGAUAAGCUUUUACUGCACACCCCCUCCCUGUGAAAUGGAAAAGGACUUCUCCUUUUUUAUAGCUGUAUUUUUGUAAAAUAGAAAGUGCCACAGCCAAAUUUAGUCAGCUGGACUGUGGACAAAGGGUAGAACUGAUGGCUUGUCUCUCAAGUUUUGUGCGACUCCUGAAAACAAUCACAUCACCCAUCAGAAAUGACAGCAAGACAUUGUGCCUCCUGACCCUUUUGAAAAUUCAUUACGUUUAUCUUGGAAAUUGUCAAUCUUGAGUUGGCUGGAAUUAUCUAAGGAAACUGGGAUUUAGUGUCCUACGUGUCAGUAAGAAUUCAUUUCCGUGAUGAAACAUUCAAAUAUGCCAAUAAAAAGAAUUUCUUGGGAUGUAAGAAGGUUCCCAUUGGCUAGUGGCUAAAGCUGGCAGAGGAAGAAAGUUUAGUCUUCUCUACUUGUAUGGUAUCCAACCACUUCAGUAACCAGAGCUCACGUUCUGUAUUCCGUGUGGGACCACUGAAUGAAAAAAAACCUUGCUUCAUGCUGAAUGCGUGGAACAUUCAAUCAAAUCUUGGAUGUUUCAUUUGCUCUCAAUCUUCCCAGGUAGGCCAAACAUAAGGUGUGCUAAAGAUUGAGUACUUGGUAUUUUACAACUAUAUUCUUUCCAUCUCUUUUUUAGCCCUGGAAAAAGGAUGAUGUUGAAGGACUGUAAAGCAAUUAAGGAUUUUAUGUGUUGUUUCUAUGGUGUCAGUAGUCAGCUUUCACCCACAGACUCAGACCAUGUCUUGAUGAAAAUACUGAAAAACUUUGCCCAGAGGUCUGCCACUGAAACCCUACACUACUUCGUUUAUAAAUACAUGGAAUUCUAUACUUGUUGCAUCUGAAGAAUAUGAACUCCAAAGUGCAAAAAAAAGUUAAAACUUCACUUCUACUUGCCUACUUUCUUUUCCUAGCUGAGAAUGCCCAGCUGCUUCAUUUCAGUACUGUUGUAGUGUUCAGCUCUGCUAUAUGAGGCAACAGAACAAACUUCAAAAUUCAAGGUGAAUUUUUGAGUCUUUAUGUCUUUGAAUACUUAUCUGCACAGUGGCUAAUCUCUACUGUCAAAAUAAACCAUCUGCCUUUCACUUCAAGCAGAAAACCUAAAUGGUUCCCAGAAUGUACAGCUCCAUCAGCCCCCUCUGCCCAGUUGGCAUCUCCAUAUCCAUCACGCACAUUAUACUGCUUCAACCACUGCCCAACAUUUCUUUCAUUCCACUCAGGAAUUCCUUUCUUUUCUUUGCAGUCUUUGAGCAGAAAUCUCAUAGAGGCCAUGUUUCAAUGUCCUGUAUGAAUUACAAGUCACUGUAAUAGAUAUUAGGCACUGAGACCUCUUUCGAUAAUUUAUUUCUUAGGGGAAAAGCUUCUCAAAAAUCAGGUCUGAUGCUUCCAGCUGUAACCGAGGCCUUGACUUUGAGUCAGCCAUGUUUAAUUGGACACUAGACAAUACAUUUAGAGCAUUUUAAGCAUGUUUUCAGAUGUAAAAGUGAUGGAUUCACACAGAGAAAAAUAGAAGUUAGAUACUCUAUUUCUGCUGGGACAUUUCUAAAAAGGUAAUUCUGUGCCACAAAGGAAAAUUGUACCUGAUCUUAGCUAUGAACUAUGCCAUUGUGCAUAAGAGAACAGUCAACUUCUCUGUUCCUGCCUCUAUUCAUAUUAGAAGAAGUUACAUGCAAACAUUUGAAAAGAAACAUUGAUUUGAUUCUCCCCAUUUUCUGCUUUGCACCUGUAGCUCCUACAGCUGUUUAAUUUUUCAUUAUAUAACAACAACAACAACAAAAAAGAAAUGUCAUCAGUUUCCGUGUCGUUUUUUUGUUCCUUUUUUGCUGCUUUGUGUAAAGCCGUUUUUGAUUUAGCAACACUUGUCUGUACGCUUUCAUGUUAUUUCUUUCAAAUCACUCCCUGUAGUGUGAAUAAAUGUUAUUUGUGUCAGCAG
ensembl:lncRNA